CCUACGGGGGGCAGCAGUGGGGGAUAUUGCACAAUGGGGGGAACCCUGAUGCAGCGACGCCGCGUGGGUGAAGAAGCGCCUCGGCGCGUAAAGCCCUGUCAGCAGGGAAGAAAAUGACGGUAUCUGAAGAAUAAGCACCGGCUAACUACGUGCCAGCAGCCGCGGUAAUACGUAGGGGGCAAGCGUUAUCCGGAUUUACUGGGCGUAAAGGGGGCGCAGACGGGGAUGCAAGCCAGAUGUGAAAGCCUAGGGCUCAACCCCGGGACUGCUCUUGGAACUGCGUGGCUGGAGUGCAGGAGGGGCAGGCGGAAUUCCUGGUGUAGCGGUAAAAUGCGUAGAUAUCAGGAGGAACACCGGUGGCGAAGGCGACCUGCUGGACUGCAACUGACGUUGAGGCCCGAAAGCGUGGGGAGCAAACAGGAUUAGAUACCCGAGUAGUC
rnacentral:rRNA from 1 species